GCCCGGAUGGCGAAAUUGGUAGACGCAAGGGACUUAAAAUCCCUCGGCUUUAAGCCGUGCCGGUUCGAGUCCGGCUCCGGGCACCA
rnacentral:tRNA from 1 species